rnacentral:rRNA from 1 species
ACUUGCCACCAUCCUGCUCUUUCGACACUCCGGUCUUGUCUGAUUUUAGAAGCUAAGUAGGGUCGGGCCUGGUCAAGACUUGGAUGAGAGACCUCCAGGAGAUACUAGAGAUCUCCAGGUAGGGCUAGGA